AUCGAACGCUGGCGGCAGGCCUAACACAUGCAAGUCGAGCGAGCGGCGGACGGGUGAGCAAUGUGUGGGAAACCGCUUGAUGGAGGGGGAUAACUACUGGAAACGGUAGCUAAUACCGAAUAUAACAGGAUGUGUACAGGUGGGAUUAGCUAGGAGGCAGGGUAAUGGCACACCUAGGCGACGAUCCCUAGCUGGUCUGAGAGGAUGACCAGCCACACUGGAACUGAGACACGGUCCAGACUCCUACGGGAGGCAGCAGUAGGGAAUCUUGCACAAUGGGCGAAAGCCUGAUGCAGCCAUGCCGCGUGAGUGAAGAAGGCCUUCGGAUUGUAAAGCUCUUUCGGCGGGGAAGCGUUACUCGCAGAAAAAGCACCGGCUAACUCCGUGCCAGCAGCCGCGGUAAUAC
rnacentral:rRNA from 1 species